UAUGUGGUUAUCUCACCUAUGUUAAUUCCUGGGAGAUGAGACAGGCAUAUGGCUGUGGUGGAGACCGGGGCCCUGGAGACAUGGCAUUUGUAUGUAAGGUUUGAUGAAUAUCUACAAUGUACCGCACUGCUAGACAGAAGGAUAAAAGGUGUACCAGAUAAGUAAAUAGCCUGCCAUCAUGAAAGUGGGAAACACACGAAAUAAGCAGGAAACAUCACUGAUUCUCACAGCCUAGAGUACUUAGUGACUACUGCCUCUGACCAAAGCAGAAUUCUCUCCUCUGCUGUUUCUGACUUGUGCCAAUAUGAAGAACUCCUUGGAGCCUAUCAUCUCAUCAGCGCCAACUAUAGUCCAUGAUGAAGGUUUGGGAAUGAUAUCUGUAUUGUUGGCUUUGUCAGUGAUCUUAAAAUGUAAACAAAGGACAUCUGGUUCAGCCUUGUAAGCCCAUCUUCGCAGGAAGCUGGACAGGACGACCACAGUUCAAAGCAUCCCAGAGCUAUAGUGUAUCUAGAUAUCAGCUUUUUUGCAGAAAGGUUUUCCUGGGUAUUUGAGACGAUAUUUCAGCUCCUGCAGUGACAAAAGCUCAUUCAGACGCUGCAUAAUUUACUAACCUGAUUUAUAAAGCGCUACAAUAUGUCUAGUACUUUCAUGCAAUAUGAGGAUAGAGCCUUCUGAGGAAAGGGAAGAUCUGUAAUGAUCGCAAUGCACCCUGGAAUUACGUGCAGUAGAAGAAAGCAGAUUGGGGCAAUUAUCCCUCUUUUUAUUAUUAAACCUUCGGAUGGCUGUUAGAGGUUAAUGGGACUAUUAUUUUUCCUUCUUUAAAAAUCUGCCUUCAAGCUUAUCUGGAUGGCUCCACAUGAGGGGCCCGGCUCUUGUAACAGCAGGCAGAGCUUCUAUUAAGCAAGGAGAGAGAUCACAAGCAUGUGCUAUUGCUUAAAUAAACCCUAGAGCCUUCAAGUCCUGGAAAUGAGCCCUGAUGAUGAGAAGUGCCCCUGUACACUUAACAGCAAGCAUGGUAUCUUUGAUAACAU